AGGGACAUAAAAAUGUAAAAUAUAAAAAAUAAAUAAGUACAUAGGUAGGGAGCUGCAUAGAUCUGCAAUGAAAAUUGUCUCAGCUUUUCCUUUGUUUUUG
rnacentral:ribozyme from 1 species